UACAGAGGGUGCAAGCGUUAAUCGGAAUUACUGGGCGUAAAGCGUGCGUAGACGGUUUCAUAAGUCGGAUGUGAAAUCCCCGGGCUCAACCUGGGAAUUGCAUUCGAGACUGUGAAGCUAGAGUUCGGUAGAGGGAAGCGGAAUUUCCGGUGUAGCGGUGAAAUGCGUAGAUAUCGGAAGGAACAUCAGUGGCGAAAGCGGCUUCCUGGACCAGAACUGACGUUGAGGUACGAAAGCGUGGGGAGCAAACAGGAUUAGAUACCCUGGUAGUCCACGCCAUAAACGAUGACAACUAGACGUUGAGAGGGUCAGCCUCCCAGUGUCGCAGCUAACGCGUUAAGUUGUCCGCCUGGGGAGUACGGCCGCAAGGUUGAA
rnacentral:rRNA from 1 species